GACGUAGGGCGCGAGCGUUGUCCGGAUUUAUUGGGCGUAAAGAGCUCGUAGGCGGCUUGUCGCGUCGAAUGUGAAAUCUCGGGGCUCAACUCCGAGCUUGCAUUCGAUACGGGCAGGCUAGAGUUCGGUAGGGGAGACUGGAAUUCCUGGUGUAGCGGUGAAAUGCGCAGAUAUCAGGAGGAACACCGGUGGCGAAGGCGGCGACCUGGUCCGAUACUGACGCUGAGGCGCGAAAGCGUGGGGAGCAAACAGG
rnacentral:rRNA from 1 species